UAGGGUUUGCUUUUUGGUCGUUUCUGUUUGGCUUCUUUGAGGUGUGUAGAGAUUGCACGAGGAGCCGAAGCACGAGGAGCUUCUUCGGCUCCCUUGUUGCUGUUCGAAUUCGCUCCUUCGACCACGUUCCCUUCCUCUCGGAUCGUAAGUUGUGACAUUUUCAUCGGAAGCAACGACGGGAGCUCGCUCGCUGUGAAGAUAACUUUCCCCUUUUGCGCGCUUCUUCAGCCAAAUCCCGUAUAUCCGCCGAACUACAGGAUUGAUUAAAUCCGGGAUUUACAGCAAAAAGAGGGAAACGGAGGAUUUAUUCGGCCGUGAGAUUUACGGGGCGCUCAAAUCCCCUUUGGCAGGAUUUAUCAUAAAUCCUGUUGCCAAACAGCCCCUCUUUUAAGAGGAAAAGAGGAGCCUUGCUGACUUCAAUAUUCCAAAGUAUAGCCGGGGGAAUAACACAUUUUCAAGAUGCAGCACGACGAUGUGAUAUGGGAUGUCAUCAGACACCACCACUGCAGCUUUAUGGCUAAGAUAACCACUGGAGUUUUCUGUAGAAAUCCAUAUAAUGUUACUGGAAUUUGCAAUUGGAGUUCAUGCCCUCUUGCAAAUAGUCGUUAUGCAACAAUUUGUGAUCAUGAUGAUGAUGAGUUUUUUUUUGGAGAGGCAGUGAUAGUUAUUGCUAACAAUUGACAAUUUGGUCAUGUUGGAUUCUUCCUCUACUUUAGCAAUGAGGCAUCAGGGAUGGUAUGAAGCUCCUCUAGAAUUUUUCUUGUAAUGCUAUUAAAUACUUAUGAUCGUACUUCUUCUACCAAUGUUGCUGCUACUUCAAGAACCUACUUAUAUGGAGUCUUUUACUUGGAUAUUCCAACUUUGUGCAAGAUUCUUUGCAGCGGUAGAGUCUGGAUGAAUUUUUUAUGCCACACGCUUGCAACCUCAUAUUGUUGUAUGUUCAAUGUCAAGGAUGUGAUGAUAUCCCUUCUCUAACAUUCUUACUCUUUUUUAAUAUACACCUAUAUAUGUUCAGAAGCAUAUGCUUUUGCAAGUUUGGCUAUCAAUUAUUUGCUUCAUGACCUUACUAAUUUAACUUGCUAAUGUUGGAUAUCCUUAAUGACCUGUGGCAAAAUUUGUGUUGUAUUCAUCACAAUUUAUUUUUGGUUUGGAAGAUAAUGCUAUUGCUCUUUAUGUCUCUAUGUGUGCAAGCUUCACUUUCUAUGUAUUUGUGAGGCAUCAAGAAUGUGUUGAGAAGGCAACCAGUGCUGCUAAAUAUUUAGUUUCAAGGAUUAUAUCAGAAUGAUAGAUGAGAAAUUUUAUUUGAAAUAAAGGAUGUGUAAAUUAUUUCAAAUACAAGGUUUUGAAAAUGAUGAUGUAUGGUUUGAAGUAAAAGAAAUAUGGAGUAAACGUUUGGUGUAUAUGAAAUACAACAUUUCAUACAAAUUUGAUGUAUUUGGAAACCGUUAGAUUUGAUCGGUUUUUAAUUACAGUGUAAAUUCAUUGUCAUGGCCAUUUGCAAGUGCCUAUCUCGAUCACAACCGCCACCACCAUCGUUCGUUACUGCCAACCACCAUCGACUGCCUCCACCCAUGGCCGUUGGGCCUGCUACCACUUUGUAUGCCAUCAACAUCUGCACCCAUGUGAUUUCCUUGCUGUUUUGUCGCUGAGGUUUAUAGAAAUUUUGAUGGAAACCAAUAUCGAUGGGAGUUCCUAGGUGAAGGCAUAAUAUUAAGUGUUGUUUACUUGUUUUAUGAAUAAUAUUUUAUUUUAAAUAAUAAUGUAUAUUUUUUAUUUUAAAAAUAAAGAAAUAAAUAAAAUAAAUUAAAAAAUUAUUUAUAUUUUUAUUAAAUAUUAAAUCAUUAAGAUGCACCAUUUAAUGAAUGUAUAAUUAAACUAACAUAAUACAUGUAAGAAAUGGCUCCUUUAGACAUUGGAUCAUUGGAUGUGGGAUAUAUAAGUGAAAAUGUAAGGAAAGUUAUGAUGCCCUAGGUUGAGUUUAUUCAUGCGCAUCGCCGCUACUGCCGUCUAGAGCUAACUCACGUCGUCCUCCCCUACGUCGGCCUUGCAGCCUCAGCAGGUCCUCUCCGGCACGUCGGCUUUGUUCGAUCUCGAUCUCUUUAUCAUGGGAUGCAUGCUCGCGUAGCAAUACAAAGCUGCGACUCGUCCGUUUCCCUACGCCCCUCUCGAUCACAAUUAGAAUCUUAACAUGAAUUUACGCAUCAUGAUUUUUUUAUUCUUUCCAUAGAUGCUUACCUCCUCGACGUUUCUGCUGAAAUCCUAACAGAACCUGAAUUGUGCGGUAGUUUAGAAUCUGCAGCCAAUGCUUCUCAAUUUCUGGUCCAAGAGGAAGAUGAGCUUCCGGCCAUUCAGGUCGGCUGCGAUUGCUUUGAUUUGUCUCUUUUUUGUGUUUCAGGAGUUGCCGCUUAUCUUUGGUGAGUGCUCUAAUGCCUUUCCCGUUUUUUAAAUCCUAUCGGGUUCAUUCCCGUUUUCUUCAGUUGUUUAUUCUUUGUUAGGAAAGUUGUAUUACUAUUGCGGGAUUUCCUUCUUUGAAUUCCUUUUUUAUUAUCUUUCUAAUUGGUCUUAUAGUUUUUAUGUUGUUAUUGACCUUUUUUUUUGCCUCACCGUGCUUAGUUAUUGUUACAGUGUGUUGCAGAGAUUGGGGGUGUAUGAAUAUGUUACAUUAUUUAACCUAUACCGAGUAAUGUGGAACUAAUAUGACCAGCCAAAUGUAUUGCGCCCAUACAAAUAUUUUUGUCGUUCCCUAGGGACCAUCAGUGCAAGCCUUUUAGUCUGUGUUGGGUUUUUCCGUUUAUUUUCCUUUUUGGGUCGGGUGGGAUGGUGGGAUGGCUAUUUUUCCAGUUGAACUAAAUAUCCGCUGUUUUGUCUGCUUUCUAUCCUGAGGCCUUUCUUUAAGGUUCCGUUUGGUUUGAAGAAUUAGAAGAGAAAAUUAAAAUGAAAUGAUAAAGGAAUUGACUUGAAAUUGGUUUUCAUCCACUUGUUUAGUUGGGAAAAAUUGUGUGCAAAAUAUUUUUUUCUUGUUGGGUGCAUGAGAAUGAGUUUUUGUUUCUUGUGAUUUUGUAUUUGUAACUAGUUAUUACAUGAACCUUCCUUCCAAUACCAUUGAGAGGCUUGCUUCUUAGUAUCAGGCAUUUGGAUAUAGAAGGCAUCAUUUGAAUACCUUAGCCCUCAUAGAUUGAUUCAUUUUCAAAAAGCAAUCAACUUUGUAGUGCUUGUCUCUAAGCUCAUGCCAUUUUCUCUCAUGGAAUUUGCUAAAAUAUUUUCUAUUUUACUUUAUUUCUUAUUUGUCUUCUUGAUACAAAUAUGUAAAACAAUAAGGACAGAAGAUAAUUUUUGAACUUUUUGUUGGAUAAAAAAAUGUCAGUGUAUGAUACUCUACCUUACUAGCAAUUGAACUUUGUGAGGGGUGACCUGGAAUUUGUGUGAUAAUGGAGAGAAAGGAGGCUGCUAAGAGAAUAUGUAAAGAGAUGUUUUGGGAGCUGAAAAUCUCACUGAAUAAAAAAAUGUAAAUUAUACAAAAGAUGUAAAAAGAUCCUAGGAUGUUAAAAGAUGUAAAAAGAAUUCAAAAUUCUCUUUUUCACCAUUAUUUUUCACCAUUUAAUGGCUGGAGAGGUCAACAAUGGAUGGCACUUGGUGAUCUGCCUCUAUGGUUAGCAGUGCUUUAUAGGCUUAGGUGAGUUUGUCUGUGAGUGCUGAGAUGAGGGGACAUGUGAUCAGAGGGCUAGUUGAGAUUGUUGAUGAAUUGUGUUGAAGGCCUUGGAUCGCUUUGGAAGGGAGAAGGUGAGUGAGUUAUAGUUGUGGGAAUGGAGAGAUUUGAGUCCGGUGGUGGGAUGAGUUGAGAGCCCCGUUAGUUGGUGCUUUCUUAUAUUUGAGCUUGCGGUGGGUGACAAGUUGCUUGCUUGAUUAAUGAACUUGAGUUGUACCCCUAUGAGGGACGACUUCCCUUGGUAGGCUUGGGCAAGUAUCAUCUAAUGAUCAUUUGGGCGAUUUCUUCUGAACGUUUCAGACAAGUAGUUCCUAUUGAUUGAUCUUAUUGAUUGAUCAUCCGAUAGUCCCCUUGUGGACCCCACUAUUGACGAGUUCCUUCAGCAUGACUUGCCAACUUCUUGUAAGGUACCUAUGAAAGGUAUAUUUGAGUAUACACUUUUGGUUCAUUUAGUUUUUUUUUAAACAAUUGUCAGGGGCAUUGCUAAAUCCUAAAAUCAUUGCAAACAGCCUGAAAUCUUAGCCUUGCAUUAGUUAUUCUUGACUUUUUUUUUUUGGAAAUGAUAUACACUGGUUUAUGUUUUUUCAUUUAGAGACACUUAUCUUUUUAUUAAUUUUCUUUUUAAUGUUUGAUAAAUGGUGUGAAAUUAUCAAAUUAAGUGUUUUUUACUUUUUAAGUAAUGC